rnacentral:rRNA from 1 species
AUUGAACGCUGGCGGCAUGCCUUACACAUGCAAGUCGAACGGCAGCACGGGUGCUUGCACCUGGUGGCGAGUGGCGAACGGGUGAGUAAUAUAUCGGAACGUACCUUAUUGUGGGGGAUAACGCAGCGAAAGCUGUGCUAAUACCGCAUAAUCCCUAAGGGGGAAAGCGGGGGACCGUAAGGCCUCGCGCAAUUAGAGCGGCCGAUACCUGAUUAGCUAGUUGGUGAGGUAAAGGCUCACCAAGGCAACGAUCAGUAGCUGGUCUGAGAGGACGAUCAGCCACACUGGGACUGAGACACGGCCCAGACUCCUACGGGAGGCAGCAGUGGGGAAUUUUGGACAAUGGGGGCAACCCUGAUCCAGCAAUGCCGCGUGAGUGAAGAAGGCCUUCGGGUUGUAAAGCUCUUUUGUCAGGGAAGAAACAGCAGCUCUAACACGGUUUGCGAAUGACGGUACCUGAAGAAUAAGCACCGGCUAACUACGUGCCAGCAGCCGCAGUAA